rnacentral:rRNA from 1 species
UACAGAGGGGGCAAGCGUUAUUCGGAAUUAUUGGGCGUAAAGGGCGCGUAGGCGGCGAUUCAAGUGACGGGUGAAAUCCCCGGGCUCAACCUGGGAAUUGCAUUGGAGACUGCAAGGCUAGAAUCUGGCAGAGGGGGGUAGAAUUCCACGUGUAGCAGUGAAAUGCGUAGAGAUGUGGAGGAACACCGAUGGCGAAGGCAGCCCCCUGGGUCAAGAUUGACGCUCAUGCACGAAAGCGUGGGGAGCAAACAGG